CAGCUGCGUGAAUUAAUGUGAAUUGCAGGACACAUUGAACAUCGAUAUCUUGAACGCAUAUUGCAGCCUCGGGCAUUCCCGAGGCUACGCCUGUCUCAGGGUCGGUUCAAAGUCAAUCGCAGUGCUGCUGUCUUGUUCGCAAUUCGCGAAUGGCCUGCGCGUUGGGCGUCGCAGUCGAACCGAGUCCCCUUCCGGGACGGAGAUCGACUUCGUCGUCUGAAGAUCUACAGACGGGUUCCUCGUGCAGUAAACGUGCGGGACGGUGACUCGAGUCUAUGAGCCUCCUCCUCCCGUGCUGCUGCUGCCGUGUCGAACACAACUUCUAUUCAGACUUCGACCUGAGAUCAGACGAGAUUACCCGCUGAAUUUAA
rnacentral:misc_RNA from 1 species